GACGAACGCUGGCGGCGUGCUUAACACAUGCAAGUCGAACGGAAAGACCCUGCUUUUGUGGGGUGCUCGAGUGGCGCACGGGUGCGUAACACGUGAGUAACCUGCCCUUGACUUUGGGAUAACUUCAGGAAACUGGGGCUAAUACCGGAUAGGAGCUCCUGCUGCAUGGUGGGGGUUGGAAAGUUUCGGCGGUUGGGGAUGGACUAGCGGUUUAUCAGCUUGUUGGUGGGGUAGAUGCUUACCAAGGCUUUGACGGGUAGCCGGCCUGAGAGGGGGACCGGCCACAUUGGGACUGAGAUACGGCCCAGACUCCUACGGGAGGCAGCAGUGGGGAAUAUUGCACGAUGGGCGCAAGCCUGAUGCAGCAACGCCGCGUGCGGGAUGAUGGCCUUCGGGUUGUAAACCGCUUUAGCCUGUGACGAAGCGUUAGUGACGGUAAUGGAUAAAGAAGCACCGGCUAACUACGUG
rnacentral:rRNA from 1 species